rnacentral:rRNA from 1 species
UGGGGAAUAUUGGACAAUGGGCGAAAGCCUGAUCCAGCCAUGCCGCGUGUGUGAAGAAGGUCUUCGGAUUGUAAAGCACUUUAAGUUGGGAGGAAGGGCAGUAAUCGAAUACCUUGCUGUUUUGACGUUACCGACAGAAUAAGCACCGGCUAACUCUGUGCCAGCAGCCGCGGUAAUACAGAGGGUGCAAGCGUUAAUCGGAAUUACUGGGCGUAAAGCGCGCGUAGGUGGUUCGUUAAGUUGAAUGUGAAAGCCCCGGGCUCAACCUGGGAACUGCAUCCAAAACUGGCGAGCUAGAGUAGGGCAGAGGGUGGUGGAAUUUCCUGUGUAGCGGUGAAAUGCGUAGAUAUAGGAAGGAACACCAGUGGCGAAGGCGACCACCUGGGCUCAUACUGACACUGAGGUGCGAAAGCGUGGGGAGCAAACAGG